rnacentral:rRNA from 1 species
AUUGAACGCUGGCGGCAUGCCUUACACAUGCAAGUCGAACGGUAACGCGGGGCAACCUGGCGACGAGUGGCGAACGGGUGAGUAAUGCAUCGGAACGUACCCAGUAGUGGGGGAUAGCCCGGCGAAAGCCGGAUUAAUACCGCAUACGACCUAAGGGUGAAAGCGGGGGACCGUAAGGCCUCGCGCUAUUGGAGCGGCCGAUGUCAGAUUAGGUAGUUGGUGGGGUAAAGGCCUACCAAGCCUUCGAUCUGUAGCUGGUCUGAGAGGACGACCAGCCACACUGGGACUGAGACACGGCCCAGACUCCUACGGGAGGCAGCAGUGGGGAAUUUUGGACAAUGGGCGAAAGCCUGAUCCAGCCAUGCCGCGUGCGGGAAGAAGGCCUCGGUU